rnacentral:rRNA from 1 species
GACGUAGGAGGCGAGCGUUAUCCGGAUUCACUGGGCGUAAAGCGCAUGUAGGCGGUUGAUUAAGUCCGUUGUUAAAGCCCCUGGCUCAACUGGGGGAGGUCAAUGGAGACUAUUCGACUUGAGGGCAACAGAGGCACAUGGAACUCCCGGUGUAGCGGUGGAAUGCGUAGAGAUCGGGAAGAACACCCGUGGCGAAAGCGCUCUACUGGACGGUAUCUGACACUGAGGGACGAAAGCUAGGGGAGCGAAUGGG